rnacentral:rRNA from 1 species
ACAAUGGGCGCAAGCCUGAUCCAGCCAUUCCGGGUGAGUGAAGAUAGGCCUUCGGGUUGUAAAGCUCUUCGGCGGGGAAGAAAUCGCACCGGUUAAUACCCGGGGUGGAUGACGGUACCCGACAUUAGAGAAGCCACCGGCUUAAAUAGGGUCUCAGCAGCCGCGGUAAUACACUAGGACCAUGAUUACGCAGCGUCUAAUUCGGAAUUACUAUAGGCGUUUUUAGGAGGAUCUACUAGUCAUAUGUGAAAUCCCCGGUGCGUACAACCUGGGAACUGCAUUUGACCGACUGCAAGGCUAGAGUGUGGCAGAGGGGGGUAGCGAUUCCGACGUGUAGCAGUGAAAUCGCGUAGCAGAUGUGGAUCCGGACUACCGAUCGGCUUCUGAGAGGCAGCUCCCCUCGCGGCUUCAACUACUGGACCGACUCAUUGUAUGAAAGCGUGUGGAGCCCUACCCAUACAGGGCCAUGAGGUACUCUGGUACGUCCAUCUCCCUAAACCAUGUCAACUCCGGUGUUGUCAACGGCAGUCUAACAUUAAAGUGCCCAACUGAAUGAUGGCAAUUAAUGACGUGAAGGUUGACCGCUCGUUGCGGGACUUACGGCCGCAAGGCUAAAACUCACGACACGAGCUGACGGGGACAGCCAUGCAGCAAGCCGUGGAUGAUGUCAGGCUCUCUUUCGAUGCAACUCCCAAAUCUCUUACCUGGAUUCCUUGACAUGUCAAGGAAUCCCGGUAGAGAUUUUUCGCGUUGCAUCGAAUUAGAUCCUGACAUCAUCCACCGCUUGCUGCAUCGCUGUCCCCGUCAAUUCCUGUCGUGAGUUUUAGCCUUGCGGCCGUAAGUCCCGCAACGAGCGGUCAACUUCUCGUCAUUAAUUGCCAUCAUUCAGUUGGGCACUUUAAUGUUUAGACUGCCGGUGACAACACCGGAG